GGGCCGGUAGUUCAGCGGUACGAUCCCUCAACGAUUAAUGGGAUAUAAACGCUCGGUUCGCAGCCGAGAAGUCGCGGGUUCAAAUCCCGCCCGGUCCACCA
rnacentral:tRNA from 1 species